GUGCUCCCAUCAGCAGCACACAUAUGCUAAAACUGGGACAAUAUGAAGAAGAUUAGCAUGGUCCCUGAACAAGGAUGACAUACAAAUUGGAGCAGUAUUCCACAUUUUA
rnacentral:snRNA from 1 species